UACGUAGGGGGCCAGCGUUGCUCGGAAUUACUGGGCGUAAAGGGUUCGUAGGUGGUGCGGCAAGUUGGGAGUGAAAUCUCCUGGCUCAACUGGGAGCUUGCAGGCGAAACUGCCGUGCUGGAGUGUGGGAGAGGUGCGUGGAAUUCCUGGUGUAGCGGUGAAAUGCGUAGAUAUCAGGAGGAACACCGAUGGCGAAGGCAGGUCUCUGGGCCGAUACUGACGCUGAGGAGCGAAAGCGUGGGGAGCGAACAGG
rnacentral:rRNA from 1 species